rnacentral:piRNA from 1 species
UCCCAGUUGUAGCCGCUUUUCUG